ensembl:lncRNA
CUUCCUCUUAGACAUAUCAGUGUUCCCAGGACAUCCUCUAAGAUAUAUCAGCGUUCCCAGGUCAUCCUCUUAGACAUAUCAGUGUUCCCAGGACAUCCUCUAAGACAUAUCAGCAUUCCCAGGUCAUCCUCUCAGACAUAUCAUCAUUCCCAGGUCAUCCUCUCAGACAUAUCAGCAUUCCCAGGUCAUCCUCUCAGACAUAUCAGCAUUCCCAGGUCAUCCUCUCAGACAUAUCAGCGUCCCUAGGUCAUCCUCUCAGACAUAUCUGCGUUCCCAGGUCAUCAGCUCAGACAUAUCAGUGUUCCCAGGUCAUCAAUCCUGUAAGACAUAUCAUAAUUCCCAGGUCAUCAACUUAGACAUAUCUGCCUUCCCAGGUCAUUUCCCUCUCAGACAUAUCAGCGAUCCCAGGUCAUCCUCUCAGACAUAUCAGGGUUCCCAGGUCAUCCUCUUAGACAUAUCAGCAUUCCCGGGUCAUCCUCUUAGACAUAUCAGCGUUCCCAGGUCAUCCUCUCAGACAUAUCAGCGUUCCCAGGUCAUCCUCUUAGACAUACCAGCGUUCCCAGGUCAUCCUCUUAGACAUAUCAGCGUUCCCAGGUCAUCCUCUCAGACAUAUCAGCAUUCCCAGGUCAUCCUCUCAGACAUAUCAGCAUCCCUAGGUCAUCCUCUCAGACAUAUCAGCAUUCCCAGGUCAUCCUCUCAGACAUAUCAGCAUUCCCAGGUCAUCCUCUCAGACAUAUCAGCGUCCCUAGGUCAUCCUCUCAGACAUAUCUGCGUUCCCAGGUCAUCCUCUUAGACAUUGAUGGUACUUGAGAGGAAUGAAUUUACAUGGUUGAGGACAGAAUUGUUGGGAUUAAACUACAAUGACAAUGAAGAUUCCUACUGAUGCUACUUUUGCUAUUGUUGGUGUGGUGUAACAGCUACUACUAUUACUGUUAACAAUUGUUUUGGGCUGUUUGUACUACUGUUUGAAUCAAAUCAAAUGUAUUUACAAAGCCCUUCUUACAUCAGCUGAUAUCUCAAAGUGCUGUACAGAAACCCAGCCUAAAACCCCAAACAGCAAGCAAUGCAGGUGUAGCAGCACGGUGGCUAGGAAAAACUCCCUAGAAAGGCCAAAACCUAGGAAGAAACCUAGAGAGGAACCAGGCUAUGAAGGGUGACCAGUCCUCUUCUGGCUGUGCCGGGUGGAGAUUAGAAACCCAGAGAGGAACCAGGCUAUGUGGGGUGGCCAGUCCUCUUCUGGCUGUGCUGGGUGGAGAUUAGAACAGAACAUGGCCAAGAUGAUCAAAUGCGCCAAGAUGAUUGAAGAUGCGACUGUUUGUUUAUUUUGUGUGGGGCGAGCCAUUGGAACUGCAGUACUAUGGACGUCUGGUUUGAUCUAACAGUUACUAACUUUGCUAACAAUCGCUAACACACGGUUGGUCUUUACGGACUUUUAAGAUAACUGGACUAACGAAGUACACACCUUUGUAUACAGGAUCAGAACACACACCGGCUUUAUCAAAAGGUUUUGCAAAAACAGUGCCUCUCCUCCAAUCCUGCCUCACCACCCCCAGUUCGUACUCCACCAUGGCUCCUCCCCUUCUAACUCCCCCACACCACCACUCAGGAUUUACCGCUUUCUGAUUGGCUGGCCCAGGGCUGACGGACAGAGACUCAGCCUGUGUACUAGGUCAUGUAAUUCCCAAUGCUCUGUGUGUUGCUUCGACCGGUUCUUCCUCUGAUGCUCCAUAUUAUCAACCAGACUUAGCAGGGGCCAUUUCCAUUCUUACCCCUGUGUACUUUAAUUCAUCCGUCGUGUCCCCUCUGCUCGCCAGAUGAUGUCAUGAUCUGUGGGGGAGGGGGGGGGUACGUAAGAUACAGGAAGGAGAAGUAGGCCGUUGUAAAUGAAAUGUCUUCAUGACGUUAUUGUGAUCUCUGUUAGCAUGUGUCAGCACUUUUAUUGAAUGGACUGUAUUAUAAACAUGAAUGUCUAGCGAUGUAAGGGAAGGGAAAAGGUCCUUGUAAAAUUGUCAGGACAUUAGGACGUGUACGUGUGCAUCAGCGUUAUUUUAACAAACAUUUUAUGGCUGUAUAUACAUACUGUAGGUAUUUUUGUUUAAAUUAAAAUGCAGCGAUAUGAAAACGUGAAUAUUUAAUUGCUCUUAUAAUAUAAAACAUGUUCUUGCUGUUGGAAA